rnacentral:rRNA from 1 species
AGUGAACGCUGGCGGUAGGCCUAACACAUGCAAGUCGAACGGCAGCACGGUAAGAGCUUGCUCUUACGGGUGGCGAGUGGCGGACGGGUGAGGAAUACAUCGGAAUCUACUUUUUCGUGGGGGAUAACGUAGGGAAACUUACGCUAAUACCGCAUACGACCUACGGGUGAAAGCAGGGGAUCUUCGGACCUUGCGCGAUUGAAUGAGCCGAUGUCGGAUUAGCUAGUUGGCGGGGUAAAGGCCCACCAAGGCGACGAUCCGUAGCUGGUCUGAGAGGAUGAUCAGCCACACUGGAACUGAGACACGGUCCAGACUCCUACGGGAGGCAGCAGUGGGGAAUAUUGGACAAUGGGCGCAAGCCUGAUCCAGCCAUACCGCGUGGGUGAAGAAGGCCUUCGGGUUGUAAAGCCCUUUUGUUGGGAAAGAAAAGCAGCAGGUUAAUACCCCGCUGUUCUGACGGUACCCAAAGAAUAAGCACCGGCUAACUUCG